CACGUAGGAGGCGAGCGUUGUCCGGAAUCAUUGGGCGUAAAGAGCGCGCGUAGGCGGUUUGGUAAGUCGGAUGUGAAAUCCCGAGGCUCAACCUCGGGACUGCAUCCGAUACUGCCCGACUAGAGGUAGGUAGGGGAGAUCGGAAUUCCUGGUGUAGCGGUGAAAUGCGUAGAUAUCUGGAGGAAUACCGGUGGCGAAGGCGGCAUCCUGGACCGAUAUUGACACUGAGGAGCGAAAGCCAGGGGAGCAAACGGG
rnacentral:rRNA from 1 species